CCAGGAGCUAAAAUAAUAUCUAAGUUUCCUCUUUGCCUGACGCCAUCCAUGCAAAAUGUGACUUGCUUCUUCAGCAGCAGCAUGAAAACAAACUAAUACACCACUAUUCCUAGUUUGUACAACGAAAGGCUAAAAAUUUGGGAGAUGCAGGAUGACUGAAGCCCGAUUCUGGGGGUUGUUACAGCACAGUUACAGGGAUGUCCUCAGGUGUCUGGUGAUCCUUGCUUAUAAGUCCAAAUUAAUGAUGAGGCACUAAAAUGCUGAUUGGAAGCUCUCUGUGCAGGCCUUCCUCACACCCAUGUCUUCAGAUACCCAAGGCCUUUAAUACCCAAGUCCUUCCAGGAUUCUGCACAUCUCAUUAGAUUCAUAUUCCCUCUAUUUGAAAAGUUCAUAUGGACCCAGCUCUGUCAUCAUCACAUGUUCUAUAUCCCCAAACCUUGUGACAUCUGCAAAGAAGUACAGAAGACCUCAAGAGAAGAUAAGCUAGAAUUUAUUUAUUUUUAUACCUUUUAUUCAGUUUUUAUUAAAGCUUUCCUACCUUUCCA
rnacentral:antisense_RNA from 1 species